rnacentral:rRNA from 1 species
CCUACGGGUGGCAGCAGUAAGGAAUAUUGGUCAAUGGACGCAAGUCUGAACCAGCCAUGCCGCGUGGAGGAUGAAGGUCCUCUGGAUUGUAAACUUCUUUUAUUUGGGAAGAAACUCCCGAUUUCCAUCGGGAUUGACGGUACCAGAUGAAUAAGCACCGGCUAACUCCGUGCCAGCAGCCGCGGUAAUACGGAGGGUGCCGGCUUCAUUCGGUUUCACGGGGGCGAAGGGGGGCGUGUAAGUCCAGGUAGAAAUCUCCGGGCUUAACCCGGAAACUGCCAUUGAUACUAUUUGUCUUGAAUACUCUGGAGGUGAGCGGAAUAUGUCAUGUAGCGGUGAAAUGCUUAGAUAUGACAUAGAACACCCAUUGCGAAGGCAGCUCACUACGGAAAUAUUGACGCUGAGGCACGAAAGCGUGGGGAUCAAACAGGAUUAGAUACCCGAGUAGUC